rnacentral:tRNA from 2 species
GCUGGCGUAGCUCAAUGGUAGAGCAGCUGAUUUGUAAUCAGCAGGUUGGGGGUUCAACUCCCUUCGCCAGCUCCA